rnacentral:rRNA from 1 species
GACCUUACUGCUAUCGGGGUGAGACUAAGCCAUGCAAGUUGCGCGCUUCUAAGCUAUGGUAGUGGAGCAGCGUAAGGCUCAGUAAAACAUGGUUAACUUGCCCUCGAGACAGGAAUACCCCCGGGAAACUGGGGAUAAAUCCCGAUAGGCGAGAUGGCUUGGAAUGAUAUCUCGUCUAAAAAACGUUAAGACCAUGCUUCUUUUCGUUGCUCGAGGAUAGGACCAUGUCCGAUCAGGCUGUUGGCGAGGUAACGGCUCACCAAACCUAUAACCGGUACGGGCCGUGAGAGCGGGAGCCCGGAGAUGGAUCCUGAGACAAGGAUCCAGGCCCUACGGGGCGCAGCAGGCGCGAAAACUCCGCAAUGCGCGAAAGCGUGACGGGGUCACCCCGAGUGUCACCUGCUGAAGGUAACUUUUCCUCAGUCUAAUCAGCUGAGGGUAAUAAGGGGAGGGCAAGUCUGGUGUCAGCCGCCGCGGUAAUACCAGCUCCCCGAGUGGUGAGGACGAUUAUUGGGCCUAAAGCGUCCGUAGCUGGCUUGAUAAGUUUCCCGUUAAAUCCGCCGAUCCAAUCGUCGGGCUGCGGGAAAUACUGUUAAGCUAGGAGGCGGGAGAGGCCGGCGGUACUUUUGGGGUAGGGGUGAAAUCCUAUAAUCCCAAGAGGACCACCAGUGGCGAAGGCGACCGGCCAGAACGCACUCGACGGUGAGGGACGAAAGCUGGGGGAGCAAACCGGAUUAGAUACCCGGGUAGUCCCAGCUGUAAACGAUGCGGGCUAAGUGUCGGGAUGGCCAUAGAGCCAUCUCGGUGCUGCAGGGAAGCCGUUAAGCCCGCCGCCUGGGGAGUACGGCCGCAAGGUUGAAACUUAAAGGAAUUGGCGGGGGAGCACCACAAGGGGUGAAGCUUGCGGUUCAAUUGGAGUCAACGCCGGGAACCUCACCGGGGAAGACAGCUGAAUGAAUGCCAGAUUGAAGGUCUUGCAGGACUAGCUGAGAGGAGGUGCAUGGCCGUCGCCAGUUCGUGCCGUGAGGUAUCCCGUUAAGUCGGGGAACGAGCGAGACCCACACCCCUUAUUGCCAGCGGAUCCUAGCGGAUGCCGGGCACUUUAGGGGGACCGCCACCGAUAAGGUGGAGGAAGGAGUGGGCCACGGCAGGUCAGUAUGCCCCGAAUUCCUCGGGCCACACGUGAGCUGCAAUGGUGGGGACAAUGGGCUCCAACCCUGAAAAGGGAAGGAAAUCCUCAAACCCCGCCUCAGUUGGGAUCGAGGGCUGCAACCCGUCCUCGUGAACAUGGAAUCCCUAGUAAUCGCGUGUCAUCAACGCGCGGUGAAUACGUCCCUGCUCCUUGCACACACCGCCCGUCGCUCCAAUCGAGUUGGGUCUAGGUGAGGCGCGGUCUUGUUGGUCGUGUCGAACCUGAGCUCAGCAAGGGGGGAGAAGUCGUAACAAGGUAAC